rnacentral:rRNA from 1 species
AGUGAACGCUGGCGGUAGGCCUAACACAUGCAAGUCGAACGGCAGCACAGUAAGAGCUUGCUCUUACGGGUGGCGAGUGGCGGACGGGUGAGGAAUACAUCGGAAUCUACUUUUUCGUGGGGGAUAACGUACGGAAACUUACGCUAAUACCGCAUACGACCUACGGGUGAAAGCAGGGGAUCUUCGGACCUUGCGCGAUUGAAUGAGCCGAUGUCGGAUUAGCUAGUUGGCGGGGUAAAGGCCCACCAAGGCGGCGAUCCGUAGCUGGUCUGAGAGGAUGAUCAGCCACACUGGAACUGAGACACGGUCCAGACUCCUACGGGAGGCAGCAGUGGGGAAUAUUGGACAAUGGGCGCAAGCCUGAUCCAUCCAUACCGCGUGGGUGAAGAAGGCCUUCGGGUUGUAAAGCCCUUUUGUUGGGAAAGAAAAGCAGCAGGUUAAUACCCCGCUGUUCUGACGGUACCCAAAGAAUAAGCACCGGCUAACUUCGUG